rnacentral:misc_RNA from 1 species
UACCUCAUCCACGCUCCAGCGAGGUCUCGACUCUAUGGAAAAGUGGUUUCAUAAAUGGGGCCUCAAAAUUAAUGAAAACAAAUCUACACAUGUAACCUUCACGCUGCGAAAACAAACCUGCCCUCAGGCGGCCAUUAACAAUAUAACAAUUCCUAACAAGGACUCAGUCAGAUACCUGGGCAUGACUCUGGACAGGAGAUUAACAUGGAAACAACGCAUCAUAGACAAAUGGAAGCAACUCAAGGAUAAACUUAAAAAACAAGCGCGCGCAGCCUCCGAGCCAUUCGCACGACUUGUGUAUUACCGUGACUGAUACCAGGGACAAAUUAGAAACGUGAAUAAAGGGAAGGAGAGAAAUAGAAGAAAAGAAGAGAAGAAGACAGAUUGCACCGAACAGAAUAAAAGAAGAAAAUAUGGCAAAUUAAGAUGAAGAGAAAAUUGUAAAUAAAAGCGUUUAAUCCAUAGAGUGUGGUGGCAAACAAAUUAUGAAACAAGAUAAUUCUUCUAUUUUUCUGUAUUGAUUAUUCCUAAGUAUACAUAUAACUACGCAGGAUAUGAUAUAUCAUAUGCAUGUAGGAUUUUGGUUUGAAGAAGUAUGUUUAUUAAAUUUUAAAGAACGAAAAUUGAACAAGAAACCCAAUAACUCGAUGUUUCACAAUUUAGCACAACACAAUUCGAUACAAUUUGUAUUGUACAACUUAUACAACAUAGCACGAUAAAAAGCAACACGAUCCAAUACGUUUGUAAACAACUUCUUGCAUAAUACGUUGGUGCUCUGGCAAUUCUUGAUUUGCGACUAAUUGACAAGCGAUCCUGAAUUUUUUAGAGAACGUCACACAUACACUUGAAUUUUUUGAUACUAAAUAAUUAAAUAUGUGUGAUUCGACCACAUUUGAUAGCACGUUAAGAAGGUUCCUAACAAACACAAAGAUGGUAUCCCGUUGGGGAUGGUCACCCACAUGAUAAUCAAACAGUUAAAAAAUUCUACCAAAUGUCCAAAUUGGCGAUUUUUUUGUGGAUGCGUGUGUGAAAUUUGUAUAAACAUUGUUUAUACGUGCUAUCAUUUAUUAAUUAUUUAUGGAGGCAAAGGAAAAGAGAAAACAUUAAUCCUGCCCACUCAAAAAUUCCAUAAGACGGUUUCCGAUAUGCUGUUAUGGAUUUUAAUGAGUAGGCAGGUAUAAUGAUUAAUCUAUGAUUUUUCUUACAAAACACCGCGCAGGAUGGUUUACAUCUUCGAAUGUCAUAGUCUUCUUCUCUACUUGUAUGAGGCAAGCACUGCCCAUAUAUAUUGUUUGAGUUGAGAAUCGCUGCUUCGACUGCUUAGACUGA